rnacentral:rRNA from 2 species
GGAAGGUGCACUUGGAAUAUAU